UUGGGAGCUCUCCCAUAUGGUCGACCUGCAGGCGGCCGCGAAUUCACUAGUGAUUCGUAUUACCGCGGCUGCUGGCACAGAGUUAGCCGGUGCUUAUUCUGCGAGUAACGUCCACUAUCCAAGAGUAUUAAUCUCAGUAGCCUCCUCCUCGCUUAAAGUGCUUUACAACCAAAAGGCCUUCUUCACACACGCGGCAUGGCUGGAUCAGGCUUUCGCCCAUUGUCCAAUAUUCCCCACUGCUGCCUCCCGUAGGAGUCUGGGCCGUGUCUCAGUCCCAGUGUGGCGGAUCAUCCUCUCAGACCCGCUACAGAUCGUCGCCUUGGUAGGCCUUUACCCCACCAACUAGCUAAUCUGACUUAGGCUCAUCUGAUAGCGCAAGGCCCGAAGGUCCCCUGCUUUUGAUCUCUCGAUAUCAUGUGGUUUAGCCCGAGUUUCCUCGGGUUAUCCCACGCUCCAGGACAGAUUCCUACGUGUUACUCACCCGUCCGCCACUCGCCACCCUAUAAAGACCGAAAUAUUUACUGUGCUGCCGUUCGACUUGCAUGUGUUAGGCAUGCCCCCAGCGUUCAAUCUGAGCCAUGAUCAAACUCUAAUCGAAUUCCCGCGGCCGCCAUGGCAGCCGGGAGCAUGCGAC
rnacentral:rRNA from 1 species